UACAGAGGUCUCAAGCGUUGUUCGGAUUCAUUGGGCGUAUAGGGUGCGUAGGCGGCGCGGUAAGUCGGGUGUGAAAUCUCGGAGCUUAACUCCGAAACUGCAUUCGAUACUGCCGUGCUUGAGGACUGGAGAGGAGACUGGAAUUUACGGUGUAGCGGUGAAAUGCGUAGAUAUCGUAAGGAAGACCAGUGGCGAAGGCGGGUCUCUGGACAGUUCCUGACGCUGAGGCACGAAGGUCAGGGGAGCAAACGGG
rnacentral:rRNA from 1 species